rnacentral:rRNA from 1 species
UCGUGGAGUGAUUUGUCUGCUCAAUUGCGAUAACGAACGAGACCUUAACCUACUAAAUAGCCAGGCUAGCUUUGGCUGGUCGCCGGCUUCUUAGAGGGACUUUCGGCUCAAGCCGAAGGAAGUUUGAGGCAAUAACA